UCUCAUGUCUAUCGAAAUAGAAUGGGAUAAAAAGAGAUAAAAACAACAAUACUUUCUAAUAUUUUUUUAUAAAUCACUUCUUGACCAAUUUCAAUGAGGUUUUGAAGUAAGAUUUUUGAUUUUGGGUCCGGUUUUAAAUUGGCCCACAGGGUCCAAAAUAAAAUUUGAGGUUCUUUGGUAGGCUGAAUCCAUACAUGAUUGUGUUUAUUAUUAUUUUUUU
rnacentral:lncRNA from 1 species